rfam:Polaribacter sp. LPB0003 LPB3_02, whole genome shotgun sequence.
GCGAGCGUGGUGGAAUUGGUAGACACGCUAGACUUAGGAUCUAGUGCCGAAAGGUGUGAGAGUUCGAGUCUCUCCGCUCGUA